GACGAACGCUGGCGGCGUGCUUAACACAUGCAAGUCGAACGGAAAGACCCUGCUUUUGUGGGGUGCUCGGGUGGCGAACGGGUGAGUAACACGUGAGUAACCUGCCCUUGACUUUGGGAUAACUUCAGGAAACUGGGGCUAAUACCGGAUCGUAGCUCCUGCUGCAUGGUGGGGGUUGGAAAGUUUCGGCGGUUGGGGAUGGACUCGCGGCUUAUCAGCUUGUUGGUGGGGUAGUGGCUUACCAAGGCUUGGACGGGUAGCCGGCCUGAGAGGGUGACCGGCCACAUUGGGACUGAGAUACGGCCCAGACUCCUACGGGAGGCAGCAGUGGGGAAUAUUGCACAAUGGGCGGAAGCCUGAUGCAGCAACGCCGCGUGCGGGAUGACGGCCUUCGGGUUGUAAACCGCUUUCGCCUGUGACGAAGCGUGAGUGACGGUAAUGGGUAAAGAAGCACCGGCUAACUACGUG
rnacentral:rRNA from 1 species